GUGGAGGUUUUAAGGUGUUUAAAGCUAGGUGUAGACUUCCUUGCGGCAUCAAGAUUAUCUCUAACAAAGACUGGCUCGUGAUUCGCUCAUACGCGAUUCCUUCCAUUUUUCUCAAAAUCCCACGUGUCAAAUAAAAGCUCUGCCAAUACGGAAGCCUCCAUUUUAAUAUAUAUAUAAUAAGCUGCACUUGCUAUAGCUUAUGGGGGC
rnacentral:lncRNA from 1 species